UAUUUUCUGUAUUAAAUAUGUAUGAUUGGUUUAUGCAUGCACGUUACAUAUUGGUAGAUGCCAACACAUUAGUAAUUAAUUUAAGACAAUGGAGUUGGAGGAAUCUUAACCAUUAUUGAUAACAAUAAUUAAUGGUUACCCUUCACCUCAUUUUAUAUAUUUACUCUCCUCUCUCCUUUUUUCAUCAUCUACUACUACUAGUCUACUUCUAAGCUUCUCUCUCUAACACACUCAUCCUCAAGAAGCUAGAACAAAAUAUGAGGUCUGCAACAUUCCACAUGUUUCUCAUUUUGGGUCUCCUAGCCACCUCAUGCAUAGCACAAGCACCUGUUGCUACCCCCACCCAGCCACCAACAACAACCGCAACACCACCAACAACAACCGCAACACCACCAACAACAACCGCAACACCACCAACUACUCCACCACCGCCACCAAAAUCAGCACCAGCACCGGCACCAACAACAGCCACCCCACCACCACCACCAACUCAAGCUCCUUCUCCUGCUCCUACCACUGUUUCCCCACCACCAUCCCCCACUCCUGCUUCUACCCCAUCUGAAGCACCUACCUCUACCCCACCAUCAGCUUCAAACCCCAGCGCCGCCGCUUCACCUGGAUCUCCCGGUUCUGCACCGGAACCACCACCGUCUGAUACACCUUCAUCUGCAUUCUCCAUUAGCAAGGCUGUUAUUGCUGGAACUGCUUUCGCUGGAACCUUCUUCGCUAUGUUGGCUUAGAAGUCAACGUGUAGAAACUCAUUCUUAUCAUUUGUCAACGUGGAAGCUCUUUGGCUCUUAAUCUUCUUAUUAUUCAUGGACGGACCGGAUCUGUUUGAUUUAUUAUCUGAUCUUGAUGAGUAGCGUUUUCUUUUUACUUUUGUAAUAAUUUAUUUACUUCCUUUUAUUUGUUCUCUAUGUUUAUGUUUCGAUGAUUAUUUCGUAAUUCAUUUGUUUUGGUGUUCACACGUCUGUAUAUGACUUUGAUUGGUUAUUAUGUGUACAUCUAAUCAUUUAAAUAAUAAUUAGUGUCUUUCUGUAUUAAUCUCUUUUCUAUAUUGGACCUUCUAUGAGAACGUAAUUUCAUUUUAUUUGAAGAGAACGUGGAUUCCUCAUCUUCUCUUCUUUGGUAAAUGCUACUGAAGAUUAGUUUACUAUUUUAACCUUACCCAAUAGUGCCAUAUAAAGUUGCUUUAUUAAUAAUAGUAUAUUUUAAUGAAAGUGUCAAGCACGUACUAAUCACUAGCCAAAAAGAUGGCCCGACAAAAAUUUUCUUUUAUCAAAAUGAAAGUUUGAAUGAGAGUUUUUUAUUUGAAUAACACAACAAAAAAGUUUAAUCACAACUAUCUAAGUCUAAGUUUAAUUUGUUAAAUAUUUCCAUAACCUUCAUUCAUAAAUCUAGUAAUUAUAUUGAAUGAAAUCUGAUUCAAUAACUUUUUUGACUGUGUCAGUAUUGUUUAAAUAUAUUAAAAGAAAUUGGUUGAUAAUAUUUAGCGGAGAAUGCAUGUUAGGACUUUCACCGACCGUGUAGUUGAGCAUUUAAUAGGGCGGUGUUCUAUAACUUCGAUCAUACAUAUGAGGAUGAAAAGAGAUAUUUUGUAACAGAUUUUGUCCCAUAUAUUAUCCUAAGUUAAUAAUAAUAACAUAAAUGAAGGUUCAAUUUUAAUGGAUGUUUGUAUAUAAAUGUCGUUAAGUUUAGCCGAUACUUCGGGUUAUAGACUUUACUGUAGUUUUUUACCAUUACAGGUUUUGACCAUUUAUGCAUUCACUCUAGCAGAAACUAAUGGACUAUACAAAAUAAUUGUGGCUUUUGAACAUGUCUUAUUUUCAAUACUAAAAUUGAUUGUGUCAAUUGUCAACUGGUAGCAUCUAGGCUCAUCCAGAACAGUGGGAGGAAGAGGCUUGUCCAAUUUUUGACUGCAAAAAACUAUCUAUGGAAACAUGCAUGGUGCAUAUAAUGAUUGUUUCCUUAUUUGGGAGUUAGAGUUUUGAUGGAGAAUGAAUAGGAAACUUUGUAGUUAUCUUAUCAAUACACUUUAUAAUUUUUAAAUUUUCUAUUUUCAUCAUUUUCCUUCCAAAACUUAACUCCGCAAUUUAUUACGGUUUGUAAUCCAAUAUACAAAUUAAUGGGUUUUAUUAGAUUAGCUAUAUGUUGUGGGAAUU
rnacentral:lncRNA from 1 species